rnacentral:rRNA from 1 species
AGAGAGAGACAUGCGCGCAUAUCAAUAAGCGGAGGAAAAGGAACUAACAAGGAUUCCCCUAGUAACGGCGAGUGAAGCGGGAAGAGCUCAAAUUUGAAAUCUUAAAGGGUUUCCCUUUACGAAUUGUAGUUUAAAGAAGUGUUUUCUGUUGAGGUUUUGGUAAAAGUUCUUUGGAAUAGGACAUCAUAGAGGGUGAGAAUCCCGUAUUUGACCUUUACUUUCAACUUUGUGAUACACUUUCAAAGAGUCGGAUUGUUUGGGAAUGCAGUCCAAAAUGGGUGGUAAAUUUCAUCUAAAGCUAAAUAUUGGCGAGAGACCGAUAGCGAACAAGUACCGUGAGGGAAAGAUGAAAAGAACUUUGAAAAGAGAGUUAAACAGUACGUGAAAUUGUCAAAAGGGAAGCGUUUGACACCAGUGUUGUUUUUCUGAAAAUCAAUUAAAGAACUGUUUAUGCUAAGCUGUUUAGACUUUAUCAGCUAACUGUUUAGUUUUGAGCUUUUCUUUAAUGCACUUUUCAGUUAACAAGUCAACAUCAAUUUCUUUUGCUGUAAAAAAGCUUGAGGAAGGUGGCUUGAGAUUCGUCUUAAGUGUUUAUAGCCUCUUGCCUAUGCAGUCGGAGAGAUUGAGGUCUGCAGCGUAGAUCCUUCGGGGCUAAAUGCAUUUGUGCUAAGUUAUAGCAUUUUAUAGACAACUUGUUGACUAUGAUUUGUCUUGUAGCUUACUCGCUUAUGUUAUUUUACCUACGCUUAGGAUGUUGACCAUGAGAUAUACGC